rnacentral:lncRNA from 1 species
GUUGACUUAUGGAAUACCAACAAAGGAAAAAUAGAAGCGCCGCCAACUUUUCCCAUUGAGAUAGAAGGAACGGAACUACGUCAAAAGGAAUGCGCGGAAGACAACUUUGGCGUUCCUUUUACGUUCCGACCAACUAUGAAUCCGCCUUAACUCCGUCUCUCUCCAGCACGCAACGUUUGAAUUCCUAAUUUCAUCGGGGCUGGGAUGUUUUUAAGAAAGGCCCGAUCGAAAAUAGCUCUAAAGUCAGGAUUAAUUAACAACAUACACACACACACACCAAAAAGGUAGGAAAAACUUUUUCUGGUGUGUGUGUGAUUAAUUAUACCUCGAUUUAGAGCCAUUUUUAAUCGGAUUCUCUAGCGUCUGUAAUUUUAUCUUUAUAUACAGGACGAAGAAAACUUCGUCAUCAAAUUCUAUGUACUGAUAGAGAGCGUGGAAACAAAUCAAAAAUGUCUAACGAACAUAUCGUCUAAAUGGCAUCGUUUUCGAGUUAUGACCCUUUAAAUCUAGCCAAUCGCCAUCGAGUACGCGAAGCGUCACCUUGCCGAGACGCGUUGCUCACCUCGUUACCACCGUAUUACAAAGUUUGCUCUCCGCGGCUUCCGGGUGGCGUCCCGCCUUUCUGCCUCGAGUUAGCCCGGAUAGUAAAGACGCUAGUGCACUCGAUUUCUAAUUUAAAAGUCUGUGUU